CAAGUCAGACUUAGUCGUCAGUACUGACCUGUUGGUUGGCUGGUGCAGUGAGGAGCGUGUCUCGCUCUGUCGUGUGUCAGUGUGGUAGUGUGAGGGCGCUGCGUGUGGUGGUGCUCCUGUGUGUUUAUUUUAGUUUAAUCGGAAGUGUUACUAGUGAGGUGUUGAUGAUGUUGUGUUACACAGUGUAGUGUAGUGUGUUGUACGGUACACUCAGCCAGCGGCUACACUUGGCUCUGGGAGCCUCAAGGCUGAAGGAAGAGAACCUGAACACUUGCUUAAACAGGUUGGUCAUCAGGAAAAUAUCUGUGAAGCAACGCCAGGUAAUCGCCAGGUAAGAGAGACGACAGACGCAGAAGCCUCUUUGAGAGACGGAGCCAACCGGUAUGU